CGCUGGCGGCGUGCUUAACACAUGCAAGUCGAACGCGAAAGGGACUUCGGUCCUGAGUAAAGUGGCGGCACGGGUGAGUAACGCGUAGAUAACCUGUCUUCAUGUCUGGAAUAAUACGCCAAAGGGGUACUAAUACCGGAUAUUCUUGCUUUUCAUAAGUUAUGCAAGCAAAGGUGGCCUCUGCAUAUGCUACUGCAUGAAGAGGGGUCUGCGUACCAUUAGCUAGUAGGUGGGGUAAUGGCCUACCUAGGCGACGAUGGUUAGCGGGUCUGAGAGGAUGAUCCGCCACACUGGCACUGGAACACGGGCCAGACUCCUACGGGAGGCAGCAGUGAGGAAUAUUGCGCAAUGGGGGAAACCCUGACGCAGCGACGCCGCGUGAGUGAGGAAGGCCUUCGGGUCGUAAAGCUCUGUCAAGAGGAAAGAAGUGUACAAUGGCUAAUACCUGUUGUAUUUGACGGUACCUCUAAAGGAAGCACCGGCUAACUCCGUGCCAGCCGCAGC
rnacentral:rRNA from 1 species